GCUGCUCAAAUCUUUACACACCUCUCCGUGGUGAGCAGCAGGCAACGGUCUUAUGACUGGCUGAGAUGUGAAG
rnacentral:ribozyme from 1 species